rnacentral:rRNA from 1 species
AGAGUUUGAUCCUGGCUCAGAAUGAACGCUGGCGGCAUGGAUUAGGCAUGCAAGUCGAACGGAGACCCCUGCUUCGGCGGGGCGAUCAGUGGCGAAAGGGUGAGUAACACGUGAGUAACCUGCCCCCGAGUUCGGAAUAGCCCCGGGAAACCGGGAUUAAUACCGGAUAUGGUUGGUCAUCCGCAUGGUUGACCGUACUAAAGAUUCAUCGUUCGGGGAUGGGCUCGCGCCCGAUUAGCUUGUUGGUGAGGUAACGGCUCACCAAGGCUAUGACAGGUAGCUGGUCUGAGAGGAUGGUCAGCCACACUGGGACUGAGACACUGCCCAGACUCCUACGGGAGGCUGCAGUCGAGAAUCGUCCGCAAUGGGCGAAAGCCUGACGGUGCAAUGCCGCGUGAGGGACGACGGCCUUCGGGUUGUAAACCUCUGUCAGGAGGGACGAAGAAUGUGAUGGUACCUCCAGAGGAAGCCACGGCUAACUACGUGCCAGCAGCCGCGGUAAUACGUAGGUGGCGAGCGUUAUUCGGAUUUACUGGGCGUAAAGGGUCCGCAGGGGGUUUGCCAAGUCUGAUGUGAAAUCCCGAAGCUCAACUUCGGAACUGCAUUGGAUACUGGUGAACUAGAGUUCACGAGGGGUGAGAAAUUCCCGGUGUAGCGGUGGAAUGCGUAGAUAUCGGGAAGAACUCCGAUGGCGAAGGCGGCUCACUGGCGUUGAACUGACCCUCAUGGACGAAAGCGUGGGGAGCGAACAGGAUUAGAUACCCUGGUAGUCCACGCUGUAAACGUUGUGCACUAGAUGUGGGUGGAUUUGAUCCCAUUCGUGUCCAAGCUAACGCGUUAAGUGCACCGCCUGGGGACUACGGCCUCAAGGCUAAAACUCAAAGGAAUUGACGGGGGCCCGCACAAGCGGUGGAGCAUGUGGCUCAAUUCGAGGCAACGCGAAGAACCUUACCUGGGUUUGACAUGUACCGGACCGGCCGCGAAAGCGGUCUUCUCUUCGGAGUCGGUACACAGGUGCUGCAUGGCUGUCGUCAGCUCGUGUCGUGAGAUGUUCGGUUAAGUCCGGCAACGAGCGCAACCCGUGUCGUCAGUUACCAGCGGAUAAUGCCGGGGACUCUGGCGAGACUGCCUGUGUCAAGCAGGAGGAAGGCGCGGAUGACGUCAAGUCCGUAUGGCCCUUACGUCCAGGGCUGCACACGUGCUACAAUGGGCGGUACAAUGAGAUGCGAAACUGCGAGGUGGAGCAAAUCUGCAAAACCGUCCUCAGUUCGGAUUGGAGUCUGCAACUCGACUCCAUGAAGUUGGAAUCGCUAGUAAAGGCGUAUCAGCAACGGCGCCUUGAAUACGUUCCCGGGCCUUGUACACACCGCCCGUCACAUCAUGGGAGCUGGCUGCACCCGAAGUCCGUGAUCCAACCCCUCGGGGAGGAAGCGGCCGAAGGGGUGUCCAGUGACUGGGAUGAAGUCGUAACAAGGUA